CCCGUUCGCGGCGGGCCUGGGCGUACCGCUCGUAGCGCUCGUACCGCUCCACCCGGCGGCGCUUGGCACGCCGGAACCGGC
rnacentral:tRNA from 1 species